UUGUAACAGUCAUACAGCACUCAAGCAAGAACAAAGCCUUGCUGAGCAUUUUUUCUGGAAAAAAAAAAUAGCAAGAUAUUUGACUCAGAGUGAGAAUACAGUACCUAAUGAUGUUAAAGCUCAUUUCUAAAUGAAAAAAUGAAACUUUUCAUUUAAUGCAAUUCAUUAUUUCAAGUGACACAUUAGAGAAGUGCUGGAUAUGCCUUUAUUAUGAAUAAGACAGGGAUUGCUCAAUGAAGUUAAAUUAAUCUUUGCCAAUAAAAUUAUAAUAACACCCCCCAUAAAAAAAAAUUAAAGAAGAAAAAAAUGGCUGGCUUUGUGCCUAGUGUAAAAUUUGUCAUGGCAUCAUCUAUUGCUUUUUAAUUAAAUUAAAUAUGAAUGGUGACAUAAAUAGGACAUAAGUGGAGAAUCACAUGUCCUAGGUCUGCGUCUGUUAAAGAACACUUAUAUACAUUGAGAAGAGAAAUCAAGUCCCCACUUGUGGAAAAACAAAUACAACUGCCAAGCCAUAAGCAUGGUAAAUAAUCCCAUUGGCUUCAGUUGGAGCCAUCAGGAUGCAUAUGAAGAUAUGGACAUAAGUCUUUGUCAGUCUGAGGACUGGGGUAAACUGAUAUUAUAAUCUGAAGAGAAAACAGAACUCCUUAAGCCAGACAUUUCCUCAAAACCCUUCCAAGAACAAAGCUUUUUGAAAAACUUUGUCUGAAAACAUAAACUCAGUAGGUACACAGACUCCAUAAGCAUUUAAGAGUGUAAUGAAAACCAUGAAGUAACUCCUCCCCUGGGAUGCCUGUAGGCAAUACUUUGUGUUAACCUGUGACCAGUUGGAAAGGAACGUGCAAAAAUCAGAUAUUAGAGGUGUCUCUUCCCAGGCUACAGUCAAAGGAGAGAAACAUGCACUGCAAGUCCUUGAGUUUAGGUAGAUCCUUUAGGAUGAGGGCUCCUGCAUGGGUCUGGCAGCAGCUGCCAGAGCUGGGGAAUAGUCUGGGAUAAGCAGUUCAUGGACUUCAGGGCACUGGCAUAAAAUGGGGUCAGGCUAAUGCCUCUGAGGCAUCUCUGUUCAUUGUAACUGCAAUGAAAACGCUGGGAAGUAGCUCUGGAGUGAUGGGAGUAACCAGUUUGGCUGUUCUCUUUGUUUGGUGGGGCUUAGGGUGGGCCAUUAGGGCUCCAAGAGGGCAGCUCAGUGACUGGAGCAGCACAAACAAGGCAGCUGUGAGCAGCCAAGAGUCACUAAAACAGGGGCUGAAUUAAGCAGGUUCUUUAAGGAAAACACAGGUAAUUUUUCCCAUUGUUUAUUUCCAUUUGCCCCUUCUUUUAACACAAUUUUUGGGCUUUUGGCUCUUUUUUUUUUUUUAAGCCCAUAUUGGUCAGAUUUUCUACCUCCCUUUAAGUUGCAGAAUUUGCUUAACUAACCCCUUUUUUUUUUUUUUUUUUUUUGUAUGAAUGUAGAUUAGAUGUUUAAUUACUGGGAUUUCUCAGGUGUAGGCAACUUUACUAUGCUACGGAUAAAUAGCAUAAGUCAAUAUUGAUUUUCCUCCCUUGUAAAGCUCCCUUGCUGCUGAAAACUGUUAACAUUUUUCAAGAUUCGACCAUGACCAUAUUUGUAUAACAGCCUUUUACUGAGCUUGAAAUUCUAUACCAAAUACUGAUCUUUUAAAGACUGAAAUCUUCAAUAAAAUAUGUUACUCGUAAAUAUUAGGAUUUCCCAUUUCUUCAAUAGAAAGAUAUUCAGUAUUAAUCCAUAUUACAGUACCAUUUUGUCAGGUGCCUGUUGCCUUACAUUUAGAUUUAGAGGAAAUGAACAGGGAUCUUUUGAGAGAAAAUGUGGAGCUAAGAUGUUAGGCAGCAGCAGGAACUGGCACCUCCGUCCUCACAAGAGGUACAGGGCAUUUCAGGACUUGGGAAGAGUGGGUCAGAGCCAGAAAAUUGGCAGCCCUGAGCUGGCAUAUGGUCCCUCACUGAUUAUCUGCAGAUAGGCAAUUUACAGGUGCCCUGGAGCUGUGUGAAAUACAACCAAAUGUUUCAAUUGCAACCAAAUGUUUCGAUUUCCCAGACAGAGCUGGCCACACAACAGCCUGCACAGAGCACAAGCCAGUUCCAUUCCUCCCCACACACUCCUGCCAGUGGAUCCUUUCUCACCAAGCUUCCUCUUGCUUUCUAUCCAGCCUUCUCUCCUCUCCCCACAGCCCCAGCAGCUCUCAGCUCCUCUCCCCACAGGGGUAGAGUUGGAAUUUCAAGUCCUUCCAAGUCAAAGGCAUGGGACAAUCCUUCCCAGGAUUUCUUGACCGUCUCUGGGAAGACGAAGGAGAUCUGCCCACAUUGCACCCAGAGCUGCCCAUGGCUCAGAGAUCUGUCCCUGCCUCUGUGCUACCUCUUCUCUUGCUCUCAAUAGUAAAAGUACCAUGAACAUCCCUCAGACCCUGCAGUUUACAGCAAGCUUCUAAGGACACAUUAAAUCAUUCACAUAUUCAUUCACAUUCCUCCACCCAGUGCAAAUGUGAAUAUUUGGGCUUUGCCUUCAAGUCUCUGUCUGUAUCCUGAAGUCCUGGUCUGUGGCACCCGUCUAGAGGGAACAUACUGGGCUAGGAUUAUGUGCCUGGUUUCCUUUCAAAUGAAACAGCAGAAAACACAACACAGCAAUUUUCACCUGAAUGUGAAGAAGAAAUUAUUAGCUGUAAGGGUGAUUGGGCACUGGAACAGAUUGCCGAGAGAGGUUUUGGAAUCUCUGUCUGGAGAUACUCCAAAGUCAUCUGAACACGAUCCUGAGUAAGAGGCUUCAAGGGACCCUGACUGAGGGGAGUUGGACUAGAUAACCUCCAGUUGUCCUUUCCAACCUGAACCAUUUUUGUUCCAUUUAACUAGGUGGGUAAAAAGUAGAAAAUCUCUAUUCUUCUUCUAAUAGAUUUAUUUCAAGGGGAAAAAUAAUUUUCCUCUAUUACAUCAUAGCUACUAAGCUUUAUUUGGGAGAAGGUGUUGAUGUCUGUCAAGGUGAAUGAAGCAGAGAGGCAGUGAUGUCUCAAGGCCAGGUUGCAUGGGGCUUGAAGCAACCUGGUCUAGUGAAAGGUGUCCCUGCCCAUGGCAGGGAGGGUGGAAUGAGGUGAUUUUUAAGGUCUCUCCUACCUAAACCAUUCCAUUAUUCAGUAAUUCUAUUUCUUCUUGCCUGAGCUAGGUCCUGCCAUUUCUGCUUGUGUUGAUUCUGUGCUAGUUUCAUUUUUAUGAGGGAGGAUGCAGAUUUGAUCCAAAGUUACAGAAGUAUCCUAGGGAAGGAAAAGGGUUAUUUCACUGUAUUCCAAGGAAUAGUUCAAAAACUCCCUAAAUUGUUAUGAAUCAGAAAAGGUAGCCUAGAACUGUGGCAUGAAUUUUUCCUCUUCAUUGCCAAGGACAUAGAAAAUGUUGAUGAAGUUUUCUGUGCAUGUUGCAAAUAAAACAAUUAGAAACUUAUUUCAACUAGCAAGGCCCUAAAACUGCUGAGCUCCCCGGGUUUGGUCUGGGAAAUUACAACAAUAAAGUAAAAUUAAUGACAACAAAUCUGUCUUUCAGAGGCAGGUCGGACCUGCUGGCAGCAGCAUCUCUUGUUUGUCACUAGCCACUAUAAAGAAGCAGCAAUUGCUGUCCUGGCAUAUAAAAUAACAGCUGAAAAUACUGGGGUUUUGCUAUUUUAGCUUAUAUUGGUACUUAUGCUGCCCUCCAGUGAUAAACACAGUUGUUCCAACCUGUAUUCUAGAUUUCUGUAGCAUUUUAUUUCUGGUCUGCUCAAUUUGCUCCGAAAACUGCAGUUCUCAUUCCUGAAUUUUAGCAAGUUCUUGUCUAAAAGUAAUAAUAGUAUAGUUCCAGUUAAUUUUAUUUGUAGUUUUUUCAAAACUAAAAGCAAAUGUAUAUCAAUUUCAUGUGAGAAAUAAUAUAAGUAGCAUGGACUUAAAUAUGAAAAAAAGCACACAAAUAUGUAACUUUGGACCUACUAAAGUAUCACAGUUAAUAAGGGUUUCAAUUAAGUUAUUUUUAAUACAGAUUGACAUUUUAGUUUUAGUUCUGCCAAAAAAAAAAUCCAUAUUCAUUGCUGUUGUUAUGCAAACAUCUCCCUUGUACUCUCAGUACUGGCUUUUGGUGGUGGCUUGAUGGAUGGAUCUUAGAUCUCUUCUGAGUUCCUGGUUCUCUCCCAUGUACCUCUGAAAUCCCUGAAUAGUGUGAAAGUCAGGUGGCACCUUCCUGGCAGCACAAAGACAGACAAAGGACUGGUAGCACUGAAGCUUCUGUGAGCUCAUGGUGCAACAAAAGAAAUGUAUGUUCCUUAAGUCAAAGGAUUGGCCCAGAUUCCCACAGCAAAUUGAGUGUUGCAGAGGUAUUAUUGGUGCUGUAAGAACCCAUCACCUGCCAAGAACUGACCUGUAUUUUGGCUGAUUCCAGUACCUAUAAAAAUAGGAGAGAGUGGAAAAGUUUGAGCAUAUUUUACUCUGCUGUUGCAUUCAUGACCACUUUUGGAUUCUAGCUGCAAUUUACAUUUCACUUGGGAAUGAUGCAGUGGUACUGGUUGCUUUUUCUCUGUUUCUCCUUUACUUGAUGCUUUUUCUCUGUUUCUCCUUUACUUGAUGCUUCUUCUAGCAUGUAUCUCAGAUAUAUGGCUGCAGCUCACACAGAUAUUUCUGAGUUUUAGAGCAUGGGAUACAAACAAAAUAUUUAUGAGAAGCUGAGUAAGUGCCUGAGUGAAUGGCUUAUGCAGAAACCCCUGUUUCCCUCAUUAUCAGCGGUAACUUUUCUAUUUCUCUUAAAACUAAACGAACCUUUGUCUCCCACACCCAUUGCAGCACCCUGGGUUUGUACAGUGAUCAGCAGGACAGGUCAGAACAGAAUUCCUGUGAUCUGGAUCUGAAGGAGUUUGCACAAUCUUCCCUUGGGAAUUGACAGUUUAAAGACCAUUCACUUCUUCAAUGAGAAGCAGCCACAGAAUUUUUUAGGUGUAGACCAGUCCAGGCUGAGCAGUUUUUCUGCUACAAUGCAAUGACCAGAGCCCCACUAUGAGGUGGUGUCCACAAGAUUCCCCUAUAUAGAAAGAAAUGGUUUCUUGCUUUUUAUUAGUCUGGGGUAGUAAUUUUACCAAUCCUUCUGGUCUAGACUUCUCCAAAAUAGUAUUGAACAAGAGCUUCAAUGGGUGUGUGUAGCAUCCAGGCAGAAAGCUUGCUGAACAGGUAAUACUCAGUGAAAGAGUUAAUAACCAAAAGGGUUUGAAGAGUAUCCUCAGGGCUUGCUGGAUGUAAGUCUGGUUUUCAGCAGCCAGCUCAGGAAACAAUUUUAUGUAAACAGAUGAUGUGCCUGAAGGUAUCACUGAACAACAGGCCCAGGAAUGGAAAAAUACAAGACCUCAUACCACACCAGAAGUUUUUCAUUCUUUACACAAUUGAAGCUGCCCUCUUAAUUAUCUCAAUCUGGGCCAGGUUAAUUGGAGCCUUCCCUGACGUGAGUCAGUCUCACACAUUUUCUGCAUCUUUGCUAAUUAAGACAAUUUUCACCUUUUAUAGUUGCUUUAGUAUUCAGAGCAGUUUGACAUAGGCUAAUUAUAAUUAUUGAAUGAUGGCUUUAAAAUUUCAUGUUUGUGAUGACAUUUUAUCACAUUAAAUUGGAAUCCCAUAAUCCUUCUUGUUCCGCGAUAGACAAGGGGGUCAUCUCGAUUCUGGAAGUUAUCCACUGUGUGAUACUGUGCUGUCAUUGGCCAUUUUCAUUCAGAACAAUUGCAAUCUCUUCUACUCUUCAACUGAAGACAUCCAGCAUCCAUCUGAUUCCAAAGGAAUACAAAAAUACUGAGUUCAGGAUCCAGGGCACAAUCCUUUUGCUUUGAUCCUACAGAUGUCCUUGCUCUGUGUGAUUUGGGAGAACUGGAUGUGAAGGAACUGAGCCGCAGGAAGGAAGAAGCCAAGGCAACACAUUCUUCUCAUGAUUGCUUAUCUGUGUCCAAAUCCACAGCAUUUUAAGAGCAUAAUCACCGAUGCAGAGUGGAAAGUCUUGCCCUGAGAUUUUCAAGGUUCCCUUGAGCUGGAGGAGCAAGAAGAGUUCAGUCUCAUCACGCAGUCAUUGCUGCUUGCAGUCGGUGCUCUAUCACAGCCCACAGCAGCUUUUCCCCACCACUUUGUGAAGGUGAAGGCUCCUGCAGAUAUUCUCAGGGGCUUUCCAGAACUGGCACUUCCCUGGAGUAACUCUGAACUGCUCAAGGCUUGACAGGAAAGUCCCAAAACAUCCUCUUUGCUUCAUCGCCACGGGUUUGCUACUUACCACUCUAGUUGCAGUCCUUGGCUUUUGGUGCAAGUUUGAAAAUGCUGUAAAUAGAAAAAUCAGGGCAUAAAGUGGAAGAAACUUCACUGUCUAAGCAUAGUUUACUUGGAUUCAUCCUAUAGUGUGCAAGGGAAUUUACUUACUGAAUUGCAAAUCUGUGCCAACCUACAGCCUUGCGGAGGGAUUUUCUACACUGAGUAGUGCUGUGGUGCUGAGGAGACAGAGCAGUUUGCAAGCACAGAUCAGAGCUGUGUCAGCACAGCCCCGUGCUGGAGCUCAUCCCUUCUGUGUUGAAACAAAGCUUUCAAGUAACAUACACCAGCACGACCAAAUCAUUUUCAAAAUCACACCAGUACCUUUGCUGAGAUCCUCUACAACUAACCCUGCUAUCCAUAGCCUGGAAUAGCUUUACAAGCACAGAUAUUCCCAUUUUCACCCAAACCUUCCAGGCACAUCCUCCCAUCCCACUGGUGUCUGUAGGAGAGAACAUGUGCUUAUGAGCUUUGUUCAUUUUGUUCACACGGGAUUUGAAGAUUUUAUUGAACUGUAAGUAGCUGGGUGUUUAAUUCCUUCUAAGGCAGGAAGAAAGGCCAGUUGUAAAUGGGAUUUGCUUUGUUCUGUGUUGAGGAAAAGAAGCUACAAAGCUAAAAAUUAAAUUUGGUGGUGCAGAGAAGCUGCCAUAGCAUAACCAUGCUGUUACUUCUUCUUGACUUCUUGUUAGAAUAUGAAAGGUUUCUGUUUAUUAAAAUUCCAUCUUUUUAGCCCAGGUGAUUCUGUAGCCUGUUUUACCAGAAUUUCAAAUAGACUUGAAAAUUUGUAUCUAUGGUGGGUUUUUUUUUGCUGCAGAAAUAAUGUCAGAUAUAAUUAAUGAGUCUUGAUGACUGCAAAUUUGAAGAUUAUGAUUUAUGACUGAUUAUAUAGAUAAGGCUGUUAUUUCUUCUAUCUUCAGAUAAGGUAAAUAUGGCUCAUAUAUCUCUGUUCUGUUGUGCUGUGCAGAUCACAGUCUCUUCUAAGUAGUUGACAAAAUAUAGCCCCUUGAGUAUAUGUGGACCAGCUGAAAUUUUACCUGAUUUCUUUAGUUUUUGAUCAAAGCACCAUGAGAUUUUGGGAAGGUAAUGGUGUCAGCAGGGAUAAGCAGAAGCAGCUUUGAAACACAACCCUGAAAAAUACUGCUAAACAUCUGGUUUUUUAGGACUACCCAAUAAACUGUGCACCUGUGGCAAUACAGAAUUCUAUUCUAAAAAAGCUCUCCAGGCUCCAGUGUUUCCAGAAUAGUUUCAGAGUUAUACAGAAUUUUUUUCAAAGCUGCUUGCACAUAUUUCUUAACAAGUGAUUGGAGGUUUGCAGUCCUAAUCAUUUUCUCAGAGUACAUCUUAGAGCAUCUCUGAAGGAGUCCACAGCCCUUGGA
ensembl:lncRNA